GCGCAGCAGGCGCGAAACUUCACAAUGUGCGAAAGCACGAUGAGGGAAUCCCAAGUGGCUUGGCACGUAAGUGUAAGCUGUUUCUCUGUCUAAAACGCAGAGAGAGUAAGGGCUGGGUAAGACGGGUGCCAGCCGGCCGCGGUAAUACCUGCAGCUCGAGUGGUGACCGUUAUUAUUGGGGCCUAAAACGUCCGUAGCCGGUUUAAUAAAUGCCUGGGUAAAUCGGACCGCUUAACGGUUCGAAUUCCGGGUAGACUGUUAAACUUGG
rnacentral:rRNA from 1 species